rnacentral:misc_RNA from 1 species
UAAAGUGCGAUAUCUAAUGUGAUUUGCAUGAAUCUGUGAGUCAUCUAGUCUUUGAACGCAACUUGCACCUCUCGAGAAAUCGAGCGGUAUGUCUGUUUGAGAACCACAAACCUCUUUGCUUACCUUUACUGGUAGCAGAUAUGAGACACUAUGAGUGUCUUGAAAUAAAGCAUGCAAGGCUUGUGAGCGUGUGCCAUGUGCUAGAGAUCGCAAGAUCUUGUCAUGGUGUACGGGAGCGGCCGAAUUUUUUAUACAUUUUUUAAUUGAGGUCUCAAAUCAGGCAAGAUUACCCGCUGAACUUAA